UACGCAGGGGGCUAGCGUUGUCCGGAAUCAUUGGGCGUAAAGAGCGUGUAGGCGGCCCGGUAAGUCCGCUGUGAAAGUCGGGGGCUCAACCCUCGAAUGCCGGUGGAUACUGUCGGGCUAGAGUGCGGAAGAGGCGAGUGGAAUUCCUGGUGUAGCGGUGAAAUGCGCAGAUAUCAGGAGGAACACCGAUUGCGAAGGCAGCUCGCUGGGACGUCACUGACGCUGAGACGCGAAAGCGUGGGGAGCAAACAGG
rnacentral:rRNA from 1 species